rnacentral:rRNA from 1 species
UACGUAGGGAGCAAGCGUUGUCCGGAAUCAUUGGGCGUAAAGCGCGCGUAGGCGGCCUCAUAAGUCCGUUGUGAAAGUCAAAGGCUCAACCUUUGAAAGCCGAUGGAUACUGUGAGGCUAGAGUCCGGAAGAGGCGAGUGGAAUUCCUGGUGUAGCGGUGGAAUGCGCAGAUAUCAGGAGGAACACCGAUUGCGAAGGCAGCUCGCUGGGACGUCACUGACGCUGAGACGCGAAAGCGUGGGAGCAAACAGG